CGAAGUAGCAAGAGGAGACGGAAACAGUUCUCUAGCACUGGUACCGGGGGAAACAGUUGAAGAAACUGACCGACUCGAACAUGGAAUUCUGAAUUCCUCAUUUGAAAGACGAAUAACAAGGUGUCCAUCUUGUUUCAGGGAAUAGCUUCAUCCAUCAUCAAACUGUUAAAUGGUGACGACGUCUCGGCGAAGGUUUUGGCUGCGGAGGUUGAAAUUGGGUGAUUUCAGCAAAACACAGUUAUGACUACUGGGAUCUUGAAUUUCUGUAUUCGUAUUAUAAUGAACCACAGACAACAGGAGACAUUAAGUAACGUCUGUUAUAACCUCAGUCUGCUGUUCCUCAAACCAGAAUUAGCGAGCAUAAUAGAAUGAGAGUGGCAUGUCGCAGUAGCCAGGGUUGAGCGGGACUUCCAAAUGUCCAUUCAGAACAUAAACUUCCACAUAGCCCAUCAUCUGCCCUACUAUAUUCAGCAAUUUGGACAUGUGCAAAGUUUCUGGAUGUUUAGAUUCGAGCGAUAAAGAGUCGCAAACAUCCAGAAAAAUCUGCAAUGCAUAUAAUUGAGGUAGGAUACAGUUCGUACAGUGGUCCUGUUGGCAUGGUAGACCAUAUUUCCUACAGGAGCAAUUGGUAUGCUGACACCCUGUCGUGCAAUUACAGUGGAUGAGUAUUAGUAGAUAUUCUGGAGCGGAAUUAAGAGUCAUGACGUCAUUCCCAAAUGACGUCAUGACGUCAAAGCGACGCCACGUGACAUAAAUAAUGGUUGCAUUGGAUUCAGCACCCCUGAAAAGCCAUAGUUUGACACUAAGUUUGAUACUUUAUGACAAAUAUUAAGGAUUUUAUGACAAUUCAUUCAUUUUUACCUCAUUUUGACAUGACCUUGAACUUUGACCCCUGUAGAACACUUAUCUGAGGGCUGAUUUUGUUCGAUUUUCAUAUUUGCGACUUACAAGUCCCAUAGCGUCGAAAAAUGACAAAAAACAAUUUCUUGCAAUUUAUUCUCGGUCCAUCACUAUUUUCUGCUAUUUUUACUCGACUAUUGCUGGAUUUGGUUGAUUCUGCGUCCAUUUCAUAAAACGUGUGCAAUUCUUAUGUGGAAAUCUGUUUAACUGUUUCAUUGGUACCAAAUGUUACAUAAGUUCAAUGGUAACGAGGCACCGGAAGUGACAUAAGUUCAAGAGUAACGUGGCACCAGUGAAACCCGUCAUUUCUACUUCGCAGUUCUAGUUAGAACUAAAGUUAUUGUGUUCCAAAACAUCAACCAAUAAAAUUGCUUAUCUCUGCUUACCCUAAGCAGAAACUGCUUAUCUUCUAACUCCAUCAAGGCAUUCACCUAAUAA